AUCAGAAUUCCCUCCGCCGUCCUCCUCGAUCUCUUCCCUCCCUCUCUGCAAUAUUGCUUUGCUUUUGCCUUUGGCCUUUGGCUUUCUCUGCUGCCGCUAAUGGCGUUGUUAAUGGCCGCCACCUCCCGGCUUUAACCCCUCGCUAAACCAUUUCUUCCUCCUCCUCCUCGUCUCUGCCUAAUCAACCGGUCCAUGCUGGAAAAAAUGAGGCGGGUGGCGCCGGCGGCCGUCGCUUCUGCCCACCACGGAGAUGAUGUCCACCAAGCCCACGACGGAGGCGCCCACUCCUCGCCUAGCUGCGCCUGCGCCUGCCCCUGCCGCCGCGGCAAGGCGGGCGCGUCCACCGUCGGCGACAAUGACGGCAGCCGCCCGUCGCCGGAGGCCAAAGGUGCCGCCUUGCCGCGGAUCUGCAUCCGGGACCCCGCCGGCCNNNN
rnacentral:lncRNA from 1 species